UCGUGUAUGGUGUAACGGCUAACAUUACCGCCUUUCAUGGUUCCUGACGAUCCGUUCCGAUGGAUAUCUAGAACGCGGUAGCUCGGGGUUCGAUUCCCCGUACGCGAA